rnacentral:rRNA from 1 species
UGGGGGAAUAUUGCACAAUGGGCGAAAGCCUGAUGCAGCGACGCCGCGUGAACGAAGAAGUAUUUCGGUAUGUAAAGUUCUAUCAGCAGGGAAGAAGAAAUGACGGUACCUGACUAAGAAGCUCCGGCUAAAUACGUGCCAGCAGCCGCGGUAAUACGUAUGGAGCAAGCGUUAUCCGGAUUUACUGGGUGUAAAGGGAGCGCAGGCGGUCUGGCAAGUCAGAUGUGAAAACCCGGGGCUCAACUCCGGGACUGCAUUUGAAACUGUCAGACUAGAGUGUCGGAGAGGUAAGUGGAAUUCCUAGUGUAGCGGUGAAAUGCGUAGAUAUUAGGAGGAACACCAGUGGCGAAGGCGGCUUACUGGACGAUAACUGACGCUGAGGCUCGAAAGCGUGGGGAGCAAACAGGAUUAGAUACCCUGGUAGU